rnacentral:rRNA from 1 species
GAUCCUGGCUCAGGAUGAACGCUGGCGGCGUGCUUAAUACAUGCAAGUCGAACGAAGCACCUUGGACAGAAUCCUUCGGGAGGAAGACCAUUGUGACUGAGUGGCGGACGGGUGAGUAACGCGUGGGUAACCUGCCUUGUACAGGGGGAUAACAGUUGGAAACGACUGCUAAUACCGCAUAAGCGCACAGUACCGCAUGGUACGGUGUGAAAAACUCCGGUGGUACAAGAUGGACCCGCGUCUGAUUAG